rnacentral:rRNA from 1 species
GACGAACGCUGGCGGCGUGCUUAACACAUGCAAGUCGAACGGAAAGGCCCUGCUUUUGUGGGGUGCUCGAGUGGCGAACGGGUGAGUAACACGUGAGUAACCUGCCCUUGACUUUGGGAUAACUUCAGGAAACUGGGGCUAAUACCGGAUAGGAGCUCCUGCUGCAUGGUGGGGGUUGGAAAGUUUCGGCGGUUGGGGAUGGACUCGCGGCUUAUCAGCUUGUUGGUGGGGUAGUGGCUUACCAAGGCCUUGACGGGUAGCCGGGCUGAGAGGGUGACCGGCCACACUAGGACUGAGAUACGACCCAGACUCCUACGGGAGGCAGCAGUGGGGAAUAUUGCACAGUGGGCGGAAGGCUGAUGCAGCGACGCCGCGUGCGGGAUGACGGCCUUCGGGUUGUAAACCGCUUUCGCCUGUGACGAAGCGUGAAUGACGGUAAUGGGUGAAGAAGCACCGGCUAACUACGUG